AACGAACGCUGGCGGCAGGCCUAACACAUGCAAGUCGAGCGAGGACUUCGGUUCUAGCGGCGGACGGGUGAGUAACGCGUGGGAAUGUGCCCUUCUCUACGGAAUAGCCCUGGGAAACUGGGAGUAAUACCGUAUACGCCCUAUUGGGGAAAGAUUUAUCGGAGAAGGAUCAGCCCGCGUUGGAUUAGGUAGUUGGUGGGGUAAUGGCCUACCAAGCCGACGAUCCAUAGCUGGUUUGAGAGGAUGAUCAGCCACACUGGGACUGAGACACGGCCCAGACACCUACGGGAGGCAGCAGUGGGGAAUCUUAGACAAUGGGGGCAACCCUGAUCUAGCCAUGCCGCGUGAGUGAUGAAGGCCUUAGGGUUGUAAAGCUCUUUCAGCUGGGAAGAUAAUGACGGUACCAGCAGAAGAAGCCCCGGCUAACUCCGUG
rnacentral:rRNA from 1 species